GACGAACGCUGGCGGCGUGCUUAACACAUGCAAGUCGAACGGAAAGGCCCUGCUUUUGUGGGGUGCUCGAGUGGCGAACGGGUGAGUAACACGUGAGUAACCUGCCCUUGACUUUGGGAUAACUUCAGGAAACUGGGGCUAAUACCGGAUAGGAGCUCCUGCUGCAUGGUGGGGGUUGGAAAGUUUCGGCGGUUGGGGAUGGACUCGCGGCUUAUCAGCUUGUUGGUGGGGUAGUGGCUUACCAAGGCUUUGACGGGUAGCCGGCCUGAGAGGGUGACCGGCCAAAUGGGGACUGGGUUACGGCCCAGACUCCUAGGGGGGGAAGCGGGGGGGAUUAUUGCACAAUGGGCGGAAGCCUGAUGCAGCAACGCCGCGGGCGGGAUGACGGCCUUCGGGUUGUAAACCGCUUUGGCCUGUGACGAGGCGUGGGUGACGGUAAUGGGUAAAGAAGAACCGGCUAACUACGU
rnacentral:rRNA from 1 species